rnacentral:rRNA from 1 species
AUUCCAGCUCCGAUAGCGUAUAUUAAAGUUGUUGCAGUUAAAAAGCUCGUAGUUGAAUUUCUAGGCAAUUUAUGGUCGGCUUUUUAGUCACCAUCAGUUGUCUAUCCGGCAUUGAACGUAUACGGUUAUUAAGUUAACUUAUGCGCGAACUGCCAUUUUACUUUGAAAAAAUUAGAGUGUUUCAGGCAGGCAAUUGCCCGAAUAUCUUAGCAUGGAAUAAUGGAAUAGGACUUUGGUUCAUUUGAUUGGUUAUUGAAUCAGAGUAAUGAUUAAUAGGGACAGUUGGGGGCAUUAGUAUAUAAUUGUCAGAGGUGAAAUUCUUGGAUUUAUUAAAGACUAACUUAUGCGAAAGCAUUUGCCAAGGAUGUUUUCAUUG